UUAGCAAACCUAACUUUAAAAAGGGGUUAAUACUAUUAUAUGCUAUUAUAUAUCUCAACUAGAAUAGAUAACAUCUUAGUUGGUUUAGAUAGAUCUUUAAAUUAUUUUUAAGGGAUAUAAUCAACUAAUGCAAAAUUUGAUGUUUAUAUUGUCUUUUUACGGGAAACAUUAGGUUAAGGAACAAAUUGAUGUUAACAUUUUUUGAAUACUGUUAAAUUACUUUUAGUAACUACAACUGUUCAUCCUCAUUUGUAGGAGAUAAAAUUGGAAAUUAUUUUAUGUUAGUUUUCAUCAUCUGAUUGAAAUGAAGGUCGCAGCUCUCCUUGUUCUGGUGUGUCUUGCUAACUUCUACAGAUUAUCAGAGUGUUGCUGCCAACAGCAAGGUCAACCAUGCAUGGUCCGAUUUGACUGUUGUGGCGAUAACAAUUGCGAAUUCAUGGGCCGUUUUGAAGGUUACUGUGAUCACAUGUACACCAUAGUUCGAGGAUGAAAGACGACUGCCAAGAUGUUCUAAAUAUAUGAUACUAACAAC